rnacentral:lncRNA from 1 species
UUAAACUAGAUCGACUGUUUGUCGUUUCGACGGCGGCGCGACAAUAGCAGUAGGGAUAAACAAAAGACGAGGAGGAGUAGAGUUUCGAGAUGAGACGAGGCAUGAUGGCGUGGCGUGAUGACCGUGAUACUAUUGCGGUGGAAACGAGGUCAUUCAAUUUUUAGGGUUCAAGUUAAUGGUGAAGAAGAUGAAAUCAUUUCGUAGGGAUUUCAGUGCCGUCGCUUCUGUCACAAUCCAAAACACCGCUGCUUCCGUUGCCGUUGUUUCCAUUGUGAAGCUGAGCCACCAUUAUUUCAGUUCCAAAAUAAUGGUGAAGUAGAUGGAAUAAGUGGUGGGUCCUACUAGUGAUAUUUAGUUAUGGUUUAGUUAGGAAAGAAGUAAAUAAGUUAAAGAAAAGUGUCUUAAGAGCUGUAAGUGUUCUAGAAUGAAAUAAAAACUCAUAAUGUGUCUUAAAAUGAAAAUAACUCUUGUUCUAAUUCAUUCAAAUUAGUCUACACGUUCUAUUUUCUUCCUUAUAUUAGUUCAC